AGAGUUUGAUCAUGGCUCAGAACGAACGUUAGCGGCGCGCCUAACACAUGCAAGUCGAGCGAGAAAGGGAGCAAUCCCCGGUACAGCGGCGCACGGGUGAGUAACACGUAGGUAAUCUGCCCUUGAGUUGGGGAUAACCUUCCGAAAGGAGGGCUAAUACCGAAUGAGACCACGGAAUCGAGAGGUUUUGAGGUCAAAGCCGGCCACUUCACGAAAGCUGGUGCUUGAGGAUGAGCCUGCGGCCCAUCAGCUAGUUGGUAGGGUAAUGGCCUACCAAGGCAAAGACGGGUAGCUGGUCUGAGAGGAUGAUCAGCCACACUGGAACUGAGACACGGUCCAGACUCCUACGGGAGGCAGCAGUGGGGAAUCUUGCGCAAUGGGCGAAAGCCUGACGCAGCGACGCCGCGUGAGUGAUGAAGGCCUUCGGGUUGUAAAGCUCUGUGGAGGGGGACGAAUAAGUGUUGGCUAACAUCCAGCAUGAUGACGGUACCCCUUUAGCAAGCACCGGCUAACUCUGUGCCAGCAGCCGCGGUAAGACAGAGGGUGCAAACGUUGUUCGGAAUUACUGGGCGUAAAGCGCGUGUAGGCGGCUUGGCAAGUCGGGUGUGAAAGCCCCGGGCUCAACCUGGGAAGUGCACUCGAAACUGCUUGGCUUGAGUACUGGAGAGGGAAGCGGAAUUCUCGGUGUAGAGGUGAAAUUCGUAGAUAUCGAGAGGAACACCGGUGGCGAAGGCGGCUUCCUGGACAGUUACUGACGCUGAGACGCGAAAGCGUGGGGAGCAAACAGGAUUAGAUACCCU
rnacentral:rRNA from 1 species